rnacentral:rRNA from 1 species
UACCAAGGCGAUGACGGGUAGCUGGUCUUAGAGGAUGGUCAGCCACAUUGGAACUGCGACACGGUCCAGACUCCUACGGGAGGCAGCAGUGGGGAAUCAUGGUCAAUGGGCGAAAGCCUGAACCUGCGACGCCGCGUGAGUGAUGAAGGUCGUAAGAUCGUAAAACUCUUUUCAGGGAUCUUAAAGCCUGUCCGUCAACAACGGGCAGGUGUGACUCUCCCUGGAAUAAGCCCCAGCCAACUACGUGCCAGCAGCUGCGGUAAUACGUAGGGGGCGAGCGUUAUUCGGAAUUACUGGGUGUAAAGGGUAUGUAGGCGGUUCCUCAAGUCGCGUGUCAAAGUCCAGCGCUUAACGCUGGGUGUGCACGCGAUACUGUGGAACUAGAGGGCUGGAGAGGUGAGCGGAAUUCCCGGUGUAGUGGUAAAAUACGUAGAUAUCGGGAGGAACACCAGCGGCGUAGGCGGCUCACUAGACAGUUUCUGACGCUAAGAUACGAAAGCGUGGGGAGCAAACAGGAUUAGAUACCCUGGUAGUCCACGCCCUAAACGAUGGAUACUUGGUGUUGGGGGGUUGCCCUCAGUGCCGGAGCUAACGC